rnacentral:rRNA from 1 species
CCCGCACAAGCGGUGGAGCAUGUGGUUUAAUUCGAUGCAACGCGAAGAACCUUACCUGGUCUUGACAUAUCUAGAAUCCUGCAGAGAUGCGGGAGUGCCUUCGGGAAUUAGAAUACAGGUGCUGCAUGGCUGUCGUCAGCUCGUGUCGUGAGAUGUUGGGUUAAGUCCCGCAACGAGCGCAACCCUUGUCCUUAGUUACCAGCGGGUUAAGCCGGGAACUCUAAGGAUACUGCCAGUGACAAACUGGAGGAAGGCGGGGACGACGUCAAGUCAUCAUGGCCCUUACGACCAGGGCUACACACGUGCUACAAUGGUAGGUACAGAGGGCAGCUACACAGCGAUGUGAUGCGAAUCUCAAAAAGCCUAUCGUAGUCCAGAUUGGAGUCUGCAACUCGACUCCAUGAAGUAGGAAUCGCUAGUAAUCGCGGAUCAGAAUGCCGCGGUGAAUACGUUCCCGGGCCUUGUACACACCGCCCGUCACACCAUGGGAGUUGAUUGCACCAGAAGUGGAUAGCUUAACCUUCGGGGAGGCGUUCACCACGGUGUGGUUGAUGACUGGGGUGAAGUCGUAACAAGGGUAGCCGUAAGCUUG